rnacentral:rRNA from 1 species
AUGGUCAUCUUCAGUGUUGACAGAACAACAUGUGCCAAGAUGCAGCCAGCAGCUCCAGCCCCAUGUGCCAAGAUGCGUCCAGUAGGUCAAACGUCAAGUAACCCGGCCAAAUCCGACGGAGCCAAACUGAGAAGGGUGGCCAUGGACGAAGCGCCGGUGGGUAGCAAUGGACGAGCAGAGGAGUUUGCGAGCUGCCAGGGCGCCGUGGAAAGCGGUCGUGAACGGCAGGGGAGAGCUGCGGGGGGCGCUGGCCGCGGCCGCGGCGUGCUUGCCGGAGAAGCGAGCAGACGAGUUGCGCUCAAGGGCGAGCUGCCGGAGCGCCGAGGAACGCAGUCGUGGUCGUGGGCGGCGGCGGCGAGCGAACGGGAGAAGGAAAGGGGACUGAGGAUUUGGGGGAUUCGGCGAGGCUGA